AGCGAAGGAUACUUUUUUUUAAUUAGAAAAAUAAAUUUUCGAAAGAUUUUGGAAGUGAUAAUUUUAAAGAUAUUGUAAAUUGCGUGAGAUUUGAUGGAAGAAAGUAAUGGUAGAAGAAGAAGAAGAAAGGAUAAAGGAAGAGUAGAAUGGAAAACUCGGUUAACUAGUAACGCUCUGAUUAAUGUCGAAACCGUUCUGCUUGGAAUAAAUUACCGUGUUCGUGAUAGUUGGCCAUAGUGUUUCGAUUUCGCUUCGAUCGGCCUAACGGUUCGAAAGAAUAUUCGUUGUUCCCUUCGUUGAAAACGUCUAGCGUUGUAGAAAACGAAUUACACGGUUGUGCGCUUAUUACGCGUUAAAUGUGAAAAGUUAAUAAAACAAGAUGCAGCGCACUGGUUAUUUUCAUCAUGGACAGGUUAUUUACCCGAGAUAUUUUAAUGCAGAAUUCCACGGAGAAUUGGACAAGGGUACUUUGCCCAAAUGGAACAUUGUAAGUAUUUCAACAUUGUGUAACACGUUAAAUCGAUAAUGGAUUGAAAAUUCGUCGCGUUUAAUGUACGUAAAAUCUUUCAGAAUUGUGUCAAAAUUGACAAGCCCCCAAUGCGCAAUGACGCGUGUCGUGGAAGUAUCUGACUCAUAGCACCGGCUGUAAGUGGUUCGAAAUUAGCUGUCGGGGGAGUCGAUAACGAGGGAAUUCGAAUCAAAUUUCGUCCAAGAUUAAUUAAAUUUCCCGCGAUAAUUGAUCCUAUUGUUUAAUAAAAAAAAAAGAAAGAAAAGAAAACACGUAACAAUUUGACGAUAAUUUUUCUUUCGAAAGACACUGCAUAAAAGAUACUCAAUGAAAUAUCAAUCACCGAGAAUAUUUAAAUAAGAAAAAAGUGAUAAAUUACUCGCUUUAAAUAUAUAUCAUUGUUUCAACACUCCCAUUUAUUCCCAUUUAACUUCAAUGUUAAUAUAUUUUUGUUGUAGACCCUUGUGUGCAAGGACAAGAACAUGUAAAACCGGUUUUGCGGUUAAAUAAAAGUAAUACACGCUCGCAUGAUUUAAUGCAAUAACAUGAUUUGAAAAGUAUAUUCCUCGUUUAAUUAAUUUCAUCGGCAUCCACAAUUCAUCGGAUUAAUUUGUAAUCGGAGAAAAGAUGAAAUAAAUUUAGAAAAAUCGUGGAAAAAUAAAAAAAGUUAUUUUAAUUAAUAAUUCGAAUAAUAAAAAAAAAAAAAAAGAUUGCGCGAAUACACAUUUCCCUAUCUUCAUUUUUCCAUCUCGCAACGUUAUCGCCUGAAUCAUCAGGAAAUUUCUCUUGUACAGCGCAAUCGUAACUUCAUAACAAUAUUGUGUUACGUAUAAAAAAAUGUGAACGUGCGUUU